rnacentral:rRNA from 1 species
AGGGCGCAGUUCGGCUGGGCCUCGCACAGGUGCUGCAUGGCUGUCGUCAGCUCGUGUCGUGAGAUGUUGGGUUAAGUCCCGCAACGAGCGCAACCCUCAUCCUUAGUUACCAGCGGGUAAUGCCGGGCACUUUAAGGAAACUGCCAGUGAUAAACUGGAGGAAGGUGGGGAUGAUGUCAAGUCAGCACGGCCCUUAUGGGGUGGGCUACACACGUGCUACAAUGGCGACUACAAUAGGUUGCAACGUCGCAAGGCUGAGCUAAUCCGUAAAAGUCGUCUCAGUUCGGAUUGUCCUCUGUAACUCGAGGGCAUGAAGUCGGAAUCGCUAGUAAUCGUGGAUCAGCAUGCCACGGUGAAUACGUUCUCGGGUCUUGUACACACUGCCCGUCACGCCAUGGGAAUUGGCUUAACUCGAAGCUGGUGCGCCAACCGUAAGGAGGCAGCCAUUUAAGGUUGGGUCGGUGACUGGGGUGAAGUCGUAACAAGGUAGCUGUAGGUGAACCUGCGGCUGGAUCA